rnacentral:rRNA from 1 species
CCUACGGGUGGCAGCAGUGGGGGAUAUUGCACAAUGGGGGAAACCCUGAUGCAGCGACGCCGCGUGAGUGAAGAAGUAAUUCGUUAUGUAAAGCUCUAUCAGCAGGGAAGAAAAUGACGGUACCUGAGUAAGAAGCCCCGGCUAACUACGUGCCAGCAGCCGCGGUAAUACGUAGGGGGCAAGCGUUAUCCGGAUUUACUGGGUGUAAAGGGGGCGUAGACGGCAGUGCAAGCCUGGAGUGAAAGGCGGGGGCUCAACCCCCGGACUGCUCUGGAAACUGUACGGCUGGAGUGCAGGAGGGGUAAGUGGAAUUCCUGGUGUAGCGGGGAAAGGCGUGGAUAUAAGGAGGAACACCAGUGGGGAAGGCGGCUUACUGGACGGUAACUGACGUGGAGGCUGGAAAGCGUGGGGAGCAAACAGGAUUAGAGACCCGGGUAGUC